GAGAAAGGAAAAAUUGAAAUCGCAUCAUAUGACCCCUUUAAGUAGAGAUAGCUUAAUGUGUUAAGUUUCUGUAAGGGGGAGGAGCCCCGUUCGAACACGUUUGAGCAGUGAGCGCGAUGUUUGAAGAUUCCGGCUCAUGCAUCAUGAGCGAUGGAUUUGGAAAGCAGCAUGUAAUGGUGAGUGUGUUAACCUCUAUUUCUUUAUCUUUCUAGGAAAAUUGAUUAUCCGAAAGACCGGUCCGACUGUAGUUAAAGCUAAAGUAGUCUUAAUGUACCGAUCAACGGUUUUUCCCCUGGCGUUUCACAGUUUCAUUACCCUUAGCUUCAGUCAUUAACAUCAGCAUGUGUGCAUCAAUUCGCUUUUUGUUAAAGCUAAGUUAGCUUGUCUCUUUGAUAUAUUAUCGUGUCUAUUAUUAUUUAUAAUAACUGCAACUGAGUUGUUGAGCUUAAAGGGUUAUGCGUAUGCUGAAAGUUUCAGUUAGUCUUGAAAUGUAACACUUUUUUCUCUGUUUUAGGUGUUCGUGGAGUUCUAAUUAAAGUUACAGGAUUGUGGGCAAGAAUCUCAAGCAUGAAAUCAUUGACCGACAUAGUCGUAGUCUAACUGAGAUAUUUCAGUCUAAGAGAGAGAAUGUUGGGCAGGUGUUGACAGCUUUCACAACAAAUCAAUUGAUUCAUUUUACUCCCCAGAGCCAACUGAUACUAGGUCUCUUGUCGUCCUUGGCGACAAACCUACAGAUUUCUACAAAGUAUGCUUUGACUCUGAUGACGAUUACUGAUCGGCAAUGAAUCGCCUGCAAUUUUGUGUAGCUUGUCAGUGAUCUACGGCUCUGUGCAGUAAA